rnacentral:rRNA from 1 species
CCUACGGGUGGCAGCAGUGGGGAAUCUUGUGCAAUGGGGGCAACCCUGACACAGCCACGCCGCGUGCGGGAAGAAGGCCUUCGGGUCGUAAACCGCUUUCAGCAGGAACGAAAAUGACGGUACCUGCAGAAGAAGGAGCGGCCAACUACGUGCCAGCAGCCGCGGUGACACGUAGGCUCCAAGCGUUGUCCGGAUUUAUUGGGCGUAAAGAGCUCGUAGGCGGUUCAGCAAGUCGGGUGUGAAAACUGUGGGCUUAACCCACAGCCUGCACCCGAAACUGCUGUGACUAGAGUUUGGUAGGGGAGCGGGGAAUUCCUGGUGUAGCGGUGAAAUGCGCAGAUAUCAGGAGGAACACCGGUGGCGAAGGCGCCGCUCUGGGCCAAUACUGACGCUGAGGAGCGAAAGCGUGGGUAGCAAACAGGAUUAGAUACCCCAGUAGUC